ACAAAUACUGCUGCUAAUGAAGAAUACCACCAAAGCUGAGAAGAUGUCUUACAGCUAUAGGGAUCCACUGCCCCUGCUUCUCCAUUUCACGGAACAGCUUCAGGAUCGGUAAAGCAUUCUCAUCUGACACAGAUCAGCAUAUAAUACAUUAAAGAUGAAAACCUCUAAUCAAAAUCACCGACUGUUGACCUUCCAAAACAGGCUGAUUAUUCUGAUGACUGAAAGAAAAAGCAUCUCCUGCAAAUAUUCUUGAAACCUGAUCUCUUGGAUUGUGCAACUGCUGCUGAGAGUGGAGGGAGAGCAAGGGAAUGGGAAGCUUCUCAUUGAAAACUCACUGGCAUACUACAAAAGAUAAAGGUUAGAGGAAGAAAUGCAGUGAAAUUGCCUGGGAUUCACAACAGGACCAGGGCUGUUUUUGAUGUACACCAAGAUUUGAAUUUGAGAAUAUACGGCCCAAUUUCAAAAUUUGCAGAUGACAUGAAAUUUGGAACUAUAUCAAAGACGGAGGAAGCUGGCAAUAAGGUUCAAAAGGACAU